rnacentral:rRNA from 1 species
AUUGAACGCUGGCGGCAUGCCUUACACAUGCAAGUCGAACGGUAACAGGUCUUCGGAUGCUGACGAGUGGCGAACGGGUGAGUAAUACAUCGGAACGUGCCUAGUAGUGGGGGAUAACUACUCGAAAGAGUGGCUAAUACCGCAUGAGAUCUACGGAUGAAAGCAGGGGAUCGCAAGACCUUGUGCUACUAGAGCGGCCGAUAGCAGAUUAGGUAGUUGGUGGGAUAAAAGCUUACCAAGCCGACGAUCUGUAGCUGGUCUGAGAGGACGAUCAGCCACACUGGGACUGAGACACGGCCCAGACUCCUACGGGAGGCAGCAGUGGGGAAUUUUGGACAAUGGGCGAAAGCCUGACCCAGCAAUGCCGCAUGCAGGAUGAAGGCCUUCGGGUUGUAAACUGCUUUUGUACGGAACGAAAAGCCCCGGGUUAAUACCCUGGGGUCAUGACGGUACCGUAAGAAUAAGCACCGGCUAACUACGUGCCAGCCGCCGCCGUAA